rnacentral:lncRNA from 1 species
UGGAACAACCACAAUGUCUUGCUUUCUCAGCAAUGAAUAACUGCUUGGAGAACCUCGUCUCCUCCUUCCUCUUCUCCACACUGCUCAACUGGGCUCCAGCUUAGACUUCUACCUGAUGCUCAGGUCUCCAAUUUCUUCCUGCUAAAAAUAACAGGUAUGAGACUCACAGUCUGGGAGUGGGGAGGAUCCAACCCCCUUCUGAGAAGCUUCUCUCUUCUCUGAGCUUACUCAAGCUGUUCCCUUCAAAUAAACCCCAGGCUGGAACGCCUUCUCCGCUUCUUUACUCAAGAGAGGAGGCUCCCAAGGGAAUAUGAGUUGCUUUGGGAGUGGUCUUUCUUUCUGAUAAUCUCAAUAAACCAUCCUCCAACUAUCCCUAAGUCUGUUUGGCCUGGAGUAAUAUCCUCAAUCAGCUUUGGACUAGGAGCCCCGGUCUUGACACCAUGGCUGUCUGAUUUGACCUUACUUAUUGUUCCUAAUAAAUGCAUUGUGCCUUAUCCCUUGUAUGGGAGGCUUCCACAUGUUUAUGAAUGUGUUUUUUAAACUCUGAAACACCCUUAAAUCCAAG